rnacentral:lncRNA from 1 species
AUGGAACUGGACAAUUUGGACAGAAAAACAAGAAAACUCAUGACCAUUCAUCAUUCCCUGCACCCUCGCAGUGAUGUUGACCGGCUAUAUCUGCCUAGAAGAUCAGGGGGCAGAGGACUCUUACAAGUAAAACAAGCAGUCAAAGAAGAAGAACAUGCCCUGGCAGAAGAUGUCAAGCAAAGUGAAGAACCUGCUUUGAUUGAAGUCAAAAGUCAGAAACUCCUCAAAGCACAGCAGACAAAAAACCAGUACAAGAAAACCGCACUACAAACUAGAGCUGACAGCUGGCACAACAAAACAUUGCAUGGAAAGUUCAUUGACAAAAUUGAAGGAAAAGCUGAUAAGGAGAAGACCUGGCUCUGGCUCACGAAUGGGACCCUGAAGAAGGAGACAGAAGGCCUGAUCCUUGCAGCCCAGGAGCAAGCCAUCAGAACAAAGGCAAUUAAGGCCAAGAUUGAAAAAUCAGCUGAUGACCCAAAAUGCAGACUGUGCAAGGAAGCUGACGAAACCAUUGAUCAUCUCCUCAGCUGCUGUAAGAAAAUUGCACAGACAGACUACAAACAGAGGCACAACUAUGUGGCCCAAAUGAUUCAUUGGAACUUAUGCCUCAAGUACCACCUCCCAGCAGCAAAGAACUGGUGGGAUCACAAACCUGCAAAAGUAUUGGAAAAUGAGCAUGCAAAGAUACUGUGGGACUUCCGAAUCCAGACUGACAAAGUUCUGGAACACAACACAUCAGACAUCACAGUUGUGGAAAAGAACAAGGUUUGGAUCAUUGAUGUUGUCAUCCCAGGUGACAGUCGCAUUGACGAAAAACAACAGGAAAAACUCAGCCGCUCUCAGGACCUCAAGAUUGAACUGCAAAGACUCUGGCAGAAACCAGUGCAGGUGGUCCCGGUGGUGAUGGGCACACUGGGUGCCGUGCCGAAAGAUCUCAGCCGGCAUUUGGAAACAACAGACAUUGACAAAAUCACGAUCUGCCAACUGCAAAAGGCCACCCUACUGGGAUCUGCACGCAUCAUCCAAAAAUACAUCACAGUCCUAGACACUUGGGAAGUGUUCGACUUGUGA